UCAGUUAUUUUCUCCACUCCCCCAAGAAGACCAUCUUUUUUGUGACAAGUUAACGGUUAUUUCAGAAGAAUCCAAAAAUCAAAGUAUUGUGGUCCACUGAUGCUUUUGUCCCGCUGUCAUCAAAGUUGUUCUGAGCGCUGGUACAAAUGAAGAUUGAUGUCCUGUGCCUGGUACACCUUUCUGCUUUAAAAAUUCAUUUCUAGGCUGGCUUGCAGUUAAUUUGCAUCGGGAGCCGAGCCUUCCUAUGUCAAACUGAGUCCUCACAGGGGAGCAUUCACAGGAAAGAGCCCUCCUGCCUUGGCCAAAGCGAAGCCACAAGAUCCCCUGGGAUGUGUCAAGCUUGCCAACAGGCCUGGGGGACAAGCCACAGCUCUCCAUGUACUACUGCCCAGGCAGUACAUGGCACCCAGUGCCCCUUUGGAGAAACAAUAAUUUAGAGAAGAGUUGACCUGGAACUACGCUUGUGGAGAAUAUGGCGAAAA